rnacentral:rRNA from 1 species
GAUGAACGCUAGCUACAGGCUUAACACAUGCAAGUCGAGGGACCGGCGCACGGGUGAGUAACACGUAUCCAACCUGCCCUUUACUCGGGGAUAGCCUUUCGAAAGAAAGAUUAAUACCCGAUAUAAAGGAUGGGGAUGCGUUCCAUUAGGUUGUUGGUGAGGUAACGGCCCACCAAGCCUUCGAUGGAUAGGUGAUCUGAGAGGAAGCUCCCCCGCAUCGGAACUGAGGCACGGUCUAAACUCCUACGGGAGGGAGGAGAGAGGAAUAUUGGUGGAGGGGCGUUAGCCUGAACCAGCCAAGUAGAGGAAAGAGGGAAGGCGUAUGGGUGGUAAACUUGUUGGGUAGAAGAAUAGGUAUUAUAAGAAUAAGCAUCGGCUAACUCCGUGCCAGCAGCCGCGGUAAUAC